UGGGGAAUAUUGGACAAUGGGGGAAACCCUGAUCCAGCAAUGCCGCGUGAGUGAUGAAGGCCUUAGGGUUGUAAAGCUCUUUUACCAGGGAUGAUAAUGACAGUACCUGGAGAAUAAGCUCCGGCUAACUCCGUGCCAGCGGCCGCGGUAAUACGGAGGGAGCUAGCGUUGUUCGGAAUUACUGGGCGUAAAGCGCGCGUAGGCGGUUACUCAAGUCAGGGGUGAAAUCCCGGAGCUCAACUCCGGAACUGCCUUCAAUACUGUCAGUCUAGAGGUCGAGAGAGGUGAGUGGAAUUCCGAGUGUAGAGGUGAAAUUCGUAGAUAUUCGGAGGAACACCAGUGGCGAAGGCGGCUCACUGGCUCGAUACUGACGCUGAGGUGCGAAAGCGUGGGGAGCAAACAGGAUUAGAUACCCCCGUAGUCC
rnacentral:rRNA from 1 species